GUCGGAUGUGAAAUCCCCGGGCUCAACCUGGGAACUGCAUUCGAAACUGGCAGGCUAGAGUCUUGUAGAGGGGGGUAGAAUUCCAGGUGUAGCGGUGAAAUGCGUAGAGAUCUGGAGGAAUACCGGUGGCGAAGGCGGCCCCCUGGACAAAGACUGACGCUCAGGUGCGAAAGCGUGGGGAGCAAACAGGAUUAGAUACCCUGGUAGUCCACGCCGUAAACGAUGUCGAUUUGGAGGUUGUGCCCUUGAGGCGUGGCUUCCGGAGCUAACGCGUUAAAUCGACCGCCUGGGGAGUACGGCCGCAAGGUUAAAACUCAAAUGAAUUGACGGGGGCCCGCACAAGCGGUGGAGCAUGUGGUUUAAUUCGAUGCAACGCGAAGAACCUUACCUGGUCUUGACAUCCACAGAACUUAGCAGAGAUGCUUUGGUGCCUUCGGGAACUGUGAGACAGGUGCUGCAUGGCUGUCGUCAGCUCGUGUUGUGAAAUGUUGGGUUAAGUCCCGCAACGAGCGCAACCCUUAUCCUUUGUUGCCAGCGGUCCGGCCGGGAACUCAAAGGAGACUGCCAGUGAUAAACUGGAGGAAGGUGGGGAUGACGUCAAGUCAUCAUGGCCCUUACGACCAGGGCUACACACGUGCUACAAUGGCAUAUACAAAGAGAAGCGACCUCGCGAGAGCAAGCGGACCUCAUAAAGUAUGUCGUAGUCCGGAUUGGAGUCUGCAACUCGACUCCAUGAAGUCGGAAUCGCUAGUAAUCGUAGAUCAGAAUGCUACGGUGAAUACGUUCCCGGGCCUUGUACACACCGCCCGUCACACCAUGGGAGUGGGUUGCAAAAGAAGUAGGUAGCUUAACCUUCGGGAGGGCGCUUACCACUUUGUGAUUCAUGACUGGGGUGAAGUCGUAACAAGGUAACCGUAGGGGAACCUGCGGUUGGAUCACCUCCUU
rnacentral:rRNA from 1 species